GAUCUGGUGUCUCUGUCGAAAGGGUAGACUUGGUCUCCUUUAGGCUCCCCAGGAAACUUCUGCAGCUGACCCAUUGCUAAAUGCGGAGCACAGGACAAAGGAAGGACAAAUUUCUCGGCAUCUACAGCCUACAAUUUUUCUUCUCCACACCACGCUCCCAUUCCUGCUGUCUCUGGCAUGUGCAAACCAAACGGUGGGGACUGGAACCCACACCUUGCACUCCUGCAGCUCUCACAAUUCCAGUCAAGAGAAAACAGCCAACGUCCAUUCCAGAGCUGCAUGGCCAGGACGGACAGCUACACCUCUGAUACUCUCAGGAAUGCCUGAAUCCAUUCCAGGGACCUUGCUUUGAGCUCCCCAGUUCUGCCGCGUGCGUUGCCAGGCAG